rnacentral:rRNA from 1 species
UACGUAGGCAGCAAGCGUUGUUCGGAAUUACUGGGCGUAAAGAGGGUGUAGGCGGUGCUCCAAGUCUGGUGUGAAAUCUCCCGGCUUAACUGGGAGGGUGCAUUAGAAACUGGAAUGCUAGAGGAUGGGAGAGGUAAGCGGAAUUCCUGGUGUAGCGGUGAAAUGCGUAGAUAUCAGGAGGAACACCUGUGGUGUAGACAGCUUACUGGACCAUUUCUGACGCUGAGACACGAAAGCGUGGGUAGCAAACAGG